CAAAGUGAAGGGGUGGACAUAUGGAUGCUUUGGAACCUGUCUAAUACAGCAUCAAGAUUGAGCUGAAGCUUACACCCAGCCCUGGUUAACUAACUUUGUGGUUCUCAUGACAUGAAUCAAAAAAUAGCUUUAAGAUAGCUGCAUGGAUACUCCUCUCACUAAUUGUUUUCUAUGAUGUUGUUGAUAUUUGUGGAAGCUGCCAACAAUGGAAAAGUGGAUCUGGUCGCUUGGGAAGGCGCAACACUGCACAAUUGUUCCUCCUACAGCUGCUGGGUUGCUGCUCCAGGAUGCAGUUUCAAAGUUGGUGCUGGAUAAGUGGUCCUGCAGGGAGGUGCUGGGUUUGCUCAGGCAGGUCACACAGCUCACAAAUGUCUAUGCAGAUACACACAUAUGAGCCUUCCAAGACAUGCAGUUCUCUGCUAUCCUUCUGUGGUAUUACCACUGCCAGACACGUCAACUGCAAUGCAAAGCCAAGGAGCAGGUCUCAGGAAAUCCCCCUUAAUUUCAUGUUUGGGAUUUUGAGACCACAACUCUUCUCUGCUUCUUAAAAGGCUUUCCCUGGGAGAAGUUGUAGGACGCGGCGGAAUGUCUUUCUUCUUUGUGUCUGUGCUGGCUAAAGCAGGACAGAGGAGCUUGAAAAGGCUCACCCUCCUCAAGGAACGUUAUCUGAUUCGUAAGCAUUCCUAGAGGUUAAGGCUGGUGACUAUCAAGAAAGCAAAUACUUCACGCAAGGGUACAUUAGGCCAGUACUGACUGCUUCUGGAAUACCACCCUGAACACCAGCCUUCUUAAGUGCCAACCUUCUCAAGUGCUGCUUCUUUCCAAUGCUGGAAAAAAUCCCUGGCAUCUCUGCCCCUCAGCUCCAAAACAGAAUAAAAGAGCAAUAAAAACAUAGAGAUGUUGCAACCCAAAUACCCAAGUGAAGACAAAGCUCCAUCUGAGGAUGCCUUGGGUUCCAGAAGGUUCAGGUUCACAGCAUGAGCUUAGAGACUGGCUGUUGAGAACACACUGGCUGGUGAAAUAUUCUUCUCUCAAGAGGCUUGGUCGAUCGUCUCCUUUUUCUGUCAUCUGCUGGUAUAUCACACUGGAAAAGCAUCUCCUCUCUGCUGGAAAAACCUCUGACUACCUUGUAUUCUAGGUCAGAAAGCCCCAAAUGGCAUCAGACUGGUCAGCUCCAGCUCGGUAUUCCCAGCCAGAUGUUCCUCAGGGGGCCAGGGGGUGCCCCCACAACAGCUGGGGACCAUAAGGCACCUGCACGGAAACUGCAGGGCCUCUCCCAGUGACCCCAGCUGCAGGAGCAUUGCUGUUUGCCGGGGCUCUGGAAUGUUCCUCACCCAGCUGUGCUCCGCUGGAUGCUUCCCAGUGGACUGGAAGAGGAGUGCUGACAGCACGGUGACACUAACCUUGGCCAGCUGACAACCCAAAGUUGCCUCCACACACCCUGGAUUGGACCCAUUGUCCUUCCUUUGACCCUCAGCUCCUUCCUCUGGCUCUGAGUAAUGAGUGUAAGCAAUCCCAGCCAUUCCAAUAUUUUUUUUUCCUAGUUUUCUUCUAGUAGAGCAGAUAUUCCUCUUUCACUGCUCAUUGUCAGAUUUGUCUUCUAAAGAAGUGGACACAUCUGGUGGGGGGUUGGUGAGACUGAGCUCAUGCACUGGGAAAGGUUCAUGGAAUACUCAACACUUCUCAGGUAACUUGGGAUAGAAACCUCCUCACACCUGGAGGAUUCCCUUUCCAGCAUCUGAACAAAACACACCUGCUGAGGAGCAGGUUCCUAUGCUGGAUCCACAAACCCGACAUGCCUGGGGCUUGUCCUCUUGUAUAAUACAAAAGAAAAGGCAGAAAAAUUCUUUAGUGAGCACUGAGUUCCCCAGGAGAAUAUGGCUGAACUUGUCUGCAAGCAAGUCACUGCUGUUUGCAUACUCUGCCUCAGAUUCACCCUCCCCAGUCCAUCUGUGAGCAUUGUACUCCAUAACAGUAACAGCCAUAUCAAACACUGCACAGUUUGGGAACAAGGGAUGCAUUUUCUUCCAGGAUUUCUUAAGCAGGUCACCAGCAUGUUUUCCCAUUGAACUGUAAGUCAAGACUGGCUGCAGGAGAGAGUCAUUGAGGGGGUAGACCACAGGUGCCACCCUAUUAUCAAUGUUAUCAUUAAUAUUAUCAAUAUAUGGCAGCAAAGUUCCCCUCCGUAAGUCUACAUGGGAAAAGUCUUAAAUGUGAAGGCAGAAGCCUCUGUAAUAGACUAAGAAAAUAUUAAAUACUUGUGGACCAGAGAGAUAAUCCAUUCUUCUCCCUGAAUGGGGCAUUGUUUCUGCCUGAAAAACAAAAAUGAUCAAGAUGAAAUCUGCAGAAAUGCAAGAUGCAGAACUAAAAUGGCAAUAGGUGUCUACUGACUGAAGAAGUUUUUAUCAACCUGGGGCCAAAGUUCCCCACUGCCACGUACAAUCAGACAGUCAGAGUGUCAAAUAAAAUUAGAGAAUCUUAAUUAGCCUUUUAAAAUGCUGAUCAUGAUGUAGUGAUUUUUUAGCUCUGUUGCCCUGAGCAUCUCCCUAUCCUAAGGACUGCUGUGUCUGACAGCUCAAGAGUGGUGGUUACAAGGGAGGGAUUUUUCUCUUCCUCGCCUUCUCACUGUGGAAAAUGUCUACAAAUGAACACAAAGAGCAAGGCAGCAGCUUGAAAAAAACGCAAAGUCAAGCUUACCUGUGGCCCACCUCUGCAGCAAUCUUGUUUACACAUCAGCACCUCAGGAACAAUCCCUACUUCAUUCACAUUCCUCAACAGCAGCCUUUAUUAUAUGGUGCACCACAUCCUCACACUAAUUAGCGCCUCACCGGCAGGCUGAGGAUCAUUUUUCAAAAGAACUGCAAUUAACAAAAUAAAACAAAUCUCUUUUUAGUUCAAGCAUCAUCACUUCUCUCCCGCCCUUCAAAGUGAGGGGGUAAAAUUGUUGCUUUCCUCUGCAAACCAGAAAUGGAAAUAUUUCCCAAAGCAGGGCAGUUUUCACUUGCCUAUCACCUUUUGCCUGAAUAUUUGAAAGGAUUUGGCAAAAGGGAAGGGUGGGGAAGGAUAUUGAUUUUCUUUGAUUUUUCUUCAGUUUAUCUGUGGAGUUGGAGGCAAAGAGGUGGUAAGGAACUCGCCUCAGGUUACAGGAUGACUCCUGAGCAGAGUUUGUGGGUUCUCGGGUUAUUUGCUCCAGCAGAUAAUCCAACAAAUGCAAUGAUUUCACUGCAACUCAAAAUUUGAUAACGUGUCUGGGACAGCUGGGGAGCCAGAGAGCUCUUAAUGGCAGUGAACACAACGUAAUCUGUUGAAGUACACAGUAUUCCUUUGGAUGCUUUGCAAUGUGAUCUUCUCUCUGUGGAGAAAGCCCUUAAUAGAUGGGGUUUAAAGAUUCCUUUCCCUGAUUUUUAAACAAAUUCGGUGGGGAAAAAAAUGUCUUGACCUAAAGCUUUGCGUGUAAAACCAGCUUAGAUGUGGCUGAAAAAGUGUCAGGAAAACAUAAAAAUAUUGGCUCUCAGUGGUAAUGAGUGGUAAUGAGGCAACUCCCAGGAAACCCCAUGAUGGAUUUGCUGCUGGUGGUUGAUUUGGCUGGUGAGUCAUUCAGUAGCUGUCAUGCCCAAAGUGGCAGAGAAGGUAAGCUUAGAAAAAGCACAGAAUUGCCUCUAGAAUGCAAAUUUCUCUUUUGGGAAAACCCCUUUAUCUAAAAAAAACAAAGAAAAUGGAAAAGGAACCCAAUUCCUCCCUCUCCAGGUGUCUCCAUAGGACCAGCCCCUUCAUUGUGGGGCAGCUAACAAGGCAAAACAAGACAAUUCAACGAUUUGUCCUCACAAGCCUAGUAAAGGCCCUAAAAGAGACUUCCAAAAUCACCCCAAAUAACCUCAGAAAGGAAAACCUAAUUUUCUGUGUUCACUUUAGCCCUGUUUUGGGUGAAACAAGGCAAAACCACAUGAAAUGCCGUACUGUGGCAGUGCUUUUGUGACACCAGCAACAUCCGCGUUUUGUAAUGAACUUUUAAAGCCUCCAUGUGGCAAAGGGUGCUGUUGGCAAGCACAUGUUUCUUCCCCAUGAAAUACUCCUGUGCUGUGAGAAGCUGUCAGUGCUGGAUGCUUUUUAACACCUGGGAAGAGGAAUAAUGCUGCAUCACUACUUAAGAUAGCAGAGCUUACCCAAAAAUAUCCUUAUGUUUUGGUAUCCAGAUUGUAUGGAGCAGCUGAGCUUUAAUCAAGACUCUCACAUAAGUCUCUCUGCUACCCUUAUGGUCCUAAAAAAAAAAAGACACCAAAAAACAAAAACAAUAAACCCCAAACAAACUCCCCCCCAACAAA